rnacentral:RNase_P_RNA from 18 species
GAAGCUGGCCAGGCAGCCGCCGCUCGCGCAAGCGAGGGGAGGAAAGUCCGGGCUCCAUAGAGCAGGAUGACGGCUAACGGCCGUACGCCGUGAGGCGAGGAACAGGGCCACAGAGACGAGUAAGCCGCAAGGUGGACGUGAAACGCGGUAACCUCCAUCCGGAGCAAGGCCAAAUAGGGUAGCGAUGGCGUGGCUCGCGCCGCUACCGGGUAGGUCGCUUGAGCCUGGUGGCAACGCCAGGCCUAGAUGAAUGGCUGCCACCCGCUUUGCGGGGACAGAACCCGGCUUACCGGCCAGCUUCAUUC